rnacentral:misc_RNA from 1 species
UGAAAUCGAAAUCAAAAUCUGCGUUGACAAUUAGAAUCACUCGUCAUGGUUUGCAUAUAUCAAAAAAAAGAAAAAAGUAUUGAUACGUUGCAACUGUUCUUAACAAUACCUGCUAACAAAUGGUGUAAGAAUAUAUAUAUUUUUUUUUAUACAACUACAAAUUUCAGCUUUCUAUCAAAAAUUUUUGCCUAAUUCAAUUUUUUUCAUCAUUCUAAUUGUGUUAUGCAAAAUUGAAUCCAAAAUCCCA